GCGACAGCCCGCCGCUUCCCUCCGCUCCCUUCGCCGCGCCUCGCGUGCUAGCGGUGCCCUUGUGAGCCACUGCGUUCUCCAAGGCCAGAACGGGACAGCAAAAAAGACAGAAGAUUAAAGGAUCUGAAAUUCAUUCAACGAUAAAAGUGCUUAAAACAUUCUAUCUUGGAGAGAUUUACAUUUUAAUUGGUAGCAAGCUUGAAAAGAAAAGAAUGAAGAUCUUGGAUACUUCUAAUCAUCAAGGAAAGGGUACAAAUCAAACUGCUCUGAUGGCCUGAUUUGCACUUCUUCUACAGUUGACGAUGGUCGUACUUCUCCAUGUUCUGAGACCAGUUUAAACAAAAACAAAAACCAGACAACAACCUUGCAAGGGAAAGAAUUCAGAGUAAAUAAACAGUCUUUUUCUGGGAAGUAAAAUAUUUCCCUAAGAUGGAGAAAUUGAGAUGAGAGCUCAUCCACAAGAUUACCCAUCAAUGAGCACCAAUAGCAACCAAAUCCACUAGAAGACUGGGAGCUUUUAAGUCAAGAAACUUACAUCAGUAUCAUCAUUCCAAGAAGCGGUAUCCAAGCUGUUUUAUCGAAAGUGCGCAUGGGAGAUAAGACUCUGAGAAUUUAUAGAAACAAACAUUAGAAGGCAGGAAUGUGGAGAGAAGAAAGCUACCUGACAAGGGAAUCUCAGGAUACAAGGAAAACACCAAGGAUGUGAGAAUGUCUUCGCUGCAUUAUUAUUUUUCAGCAUUGCCUCUGCUGACUUCAUGGGAGGAAUGGUGUUUCUUCUUCUCUCCCAUGUCAUGGAAGACACUCCUGAUGGCAUGUCUGUAGGUCUGUAGGAAAGAAUAAUCACCUCAGUAGCUUAGUGUGUGUAUGUGUGUGUGUGUGUCUGACACACUGUAGGUACAUAAUAAAGAUUUGAAAAUAUGAGUUUUUUUUAAUCCAAGCAGUGCCAUGUGUUUACUUGGAUUAGUAAUUGUACCAAUCUACAUUUUAAAGGUAAAACUAGCCAUUCAUUCUUUUGUUUCAGCAGUUGCCUAAUUUUAUUGUUUAAGUAUAAUGUGAGUGAAGGAAACUUCCUAGUUAGAAAUCUAUGAAUAUUAACUUCUUGUCUUCACUAACCAGAGUUGUUCUCAACUCAUAACACGUGGUUUGGUAAACCAUUUGCAAUGUAAACAUAGCAGAUUUUACUUGUAGUUUCAUAAUUUAGGCAGGUUGGCUCUGUAUUAUUUCUAGAAUCACAGGUAUCUGGAUGAAGAAUCACCAUUUUGUCAUUAGAGAUUACAACAAAUGUAGUUUAUUCUUUUUACCGGUAAUAUCAAUGUAAGCAAAAAUUAUACUUUUUAGCUAAGCAUGUUAUCUUCCCAGACUGGAGGAGUUAUUAUCUUCCAUAUUUUCUCUAUCUUCCACUAUACAAAGGGAAAAUAGAUUGGAAUUGUACUGGCCAUUGCUUUGUAAAGAGAAUAUAAAUAGCAAUAAAACAUAAAGAAAAUGACUGACACGUGAA
rnacentral:lncRNA from 1 species